rnacentral:misc_RNA from 1 species
UUUCCGUAGGUGAACCUGCGGAAGGAUCAUUAUUGUAUAACCGAGGUGCGAGGGCUGUCGCUGACCCGAAAGGUCGUGCACGCCCGAGUGCCCUCACACACAUCCAUCUCACCCCUAUGUGCACCACCGCGUGGGUCCCCCUUUGGCUUGUUCGGAGGGGGGCUUACGUUUUCACACAAACUUUGUAUGCAGUGUAGAAUGUAUUUUUUGUUUUUGCGAUCACGCAAUCAAUACAACUUUCAACAACGGAUCUCUUGGCUCUCGCAUCAUGAAGAAUGCAGC